rnacentral:rRNA from 1 species
UACAGAGGUCCCAAGCGUUGUUCGGAUUCAUUGGGCGUAAAGGGUGCGUAGGCGGUUUGUACAGUCAGACGUGAAAUUCCUGGGCUCAACCUGGGGGCUGCGUUUGAUACGUGCGAGCUUGAGUUCGGAAGAGGGUCGUGGAAUUCCCAGUGUAGAGGUGAAAUUCGUAGAUAUUGGGAAGAACACCGGUGGCGAAGGCGGCGACCUGGUCCGAUACUGACGCUGAGGCGCGAAAGCGUGGGGAGCGAACAGG